GACCAUGCGAGACACCCUCCAGUUGUCACUAGACUACGCUCCAAAAGGGCGAGACUUGGCGGCGCCUCGGUGUGUAUACUCCAGCCCUCAUUGUUCUCUCUCAACUUGUCAGACUGCUCACUGUCCCCUGGGUGAAGAUUUGGGACGUGCAGUCGCUUGGGCUACAGGUCUUCUCAACUUGCAGUGAUUUGGGUCUCAAGAGUGCAGAGAGAUGUGGAACGGAACGAAACUUGCCCUCGUGGCUCCAGCGGGCCCGUGACAAGUGCAAGCGGGGGCCCAGUUCUUGCUCUGCUAAACACAAAGAAAUCCUGUAUUAUCUUAGCACGCUUAGUGCUGUGUAUGCUGCUAUUUAUCCUGUAAGAAGUGGGGUUGAACCAAGGCAUCCUUGUGGCAUUAAAAAGAGAAGUUUUGCAAGGCGAGCCUCCCUGAGCAGCAGCAAUUCUGUGGAGAACCCUGAAAGUUGGCCUAAUCAAUGGGUAAUCUUAAAGAGAUUGCAUUCCCCACAGGAAGGAGCUUGCCUCAGUUUACAGAAAAUUCAGAAGUUUGAAGCCAUCGUGAGGAAAUAAUAAGGCAAAUCCAGAAUGUGGAACAAUUGGCUUUCAAAAACUAAAGUCAAGAAAAGGAAAAAAAAAAGUGGGUGAAAUGGGAGAUUUUAAGAAACUAAAGAUGCGUAAUACCAAAUAAGACAUGUGAACCCUGACUGGACCCAGUGCCAGCAAUCCCUCCCAUCACCGUAUCCACAUGCCGCUCUUCCCACUCAGGGUGGAAUCCAUUUCCCCUCCACUGGCAUCUCAUUCUGGACCUGUGACUUGCGCUGACCAAUUCAACGCAGUGGAAGAAAACUGUAUGGCUCUGGUGCCUGGGGCUUAAGAGGCCUGAUGGCUUCCAUUUUCACUCUCUUGGAACCCAGCUGAUACGAGGUCCAGCCCAGCAGACUGAGCCAUGAGUUAACAGGAUGAAGCCAUUUUGGAUCCUUCAGUCCCAGAGGAACUGCCCUAGCCAAUACCAACAUGGAACAAAGAUGAGCUAUCCCCACCAAAACCAUUCUAUGCAAUUAUGUAACUGGAAAAAAAAAAUGAUGGCACGCUUCAUGAGCUGAUAUAGAAAGAUUUCUGGGAUAUACUGCUAUGUUAAAAAAAAAAAGCAAGAUGCAGAAGACAGUAUAUAGUAAGCUAUCUUUGGUAUUUGUAUUUGCAUGAAAAAUGCUGGAAGAAUAUAUAAGACUAUAAGUGGUUACUUAUAGGUAGCAUGAAUAUUCAGCCAAUAUACACCAGUUUGGUUGUGCUGGUUAAAAUACAAAAAUACUUCUGUCCUAGUUGGUAAAUGGUCCCUCUCCAAGCCCCUGAAUUCCCUCCACCUCUGUUCUCGCCCUGGAAUACGUGAUUGCUCCAUGAUUCAACAAAUAAAGAGUUACCCCUUGCAGGGAAGGGGUCAGCAGACUAGCAGAUAAUGAGGCAGAUGUUAACAGGGGUGCAAGAGAGACUUGGCAAACUAGAUCUAUCAAUAUCUUUGAUUUCUGAACCAUGAGAAUAUGUUAUCUAUUUAAUAAAAAACAUUUUGAAAACAAAAGCAGUG